rnacentral:rRNA from 1 species
UGGGGUAUAUUGCACAAUGGAGGGAACUCUGAUGCAGCGACGCCGCGUGAACGAAGAAGGCUUUCGAGUCGUAAAGUUCUUUUAUAUGGGAAGAUAAUGACGGUACCAUAAGAAAAAGCCCCGGCUAACUACGUGCCAGCAGCCUCGGUAAUACGUAGGGGGCUAGCGUUGUCCGGAAUCACUGGGCGUAAAGGGUUCGCAGGCGGAAAUGCAAGUCAGGUGUAAAAGGCAGUAGCUUAACUACUGUAAGCAUUUGAAACUGCAUAUCUUGAGAAGAGUAGAGGUAAGUGGAAUUUUUAGUGUAGCGGUGAAAUGCGUAGAUAUUAAAAAGAAUACCGGUGGCGAAGGCGACUUACUGAGCUCAUUCUGACGCUGAGGAACGAAAGCGUGGGUAGCAAACAGG